rnacentral:rRNA from 1 species
GCCUAACACAUGCAAGUCGAACGGUAACAGGAAGCAGCUUGCUGCUUCGCUGACGAGUGGCGGACGGGUGAGUAAUGUCUGGGAAACUGCCUGAUGGAGGGGGAUAACUACUGGAAACGGUGGCUAAUACCGCAUAACGUCGCAAGACCAAAGAGGGGGACCUUCGGGCCUCUUGCCAUCAGAUGUGCCCAGAUGGGAUUAGCUUGUUGGUGAGGUAACGGCUCACCAAGGCGACGAUCCCUAGCUGGUCUGAGAGGAUGACCAGCCACACUGGAACUGAGACACGGUCCAGACUCCUACGGGAGGCAGCAGUGGGGAAUAUUGCACAAUGGGCGCAAGCCUGAUGCAGCCAUGCCGCGUGUAUGAAGAAGGCCUUCGGGUUGUAAAGUACUUUCAGCGGGGAGGAAGGUGUUGUGGUUAAUAACCGCAGCAAUUGACGUUACCCGCAGAAGAAGCACCGGCUAACUCCGUGCCAGCAGCCGCGGUAAUACGGAGGGUGCAAGCGUUAAUCGGAAUUACUGGGCGUAAAGCGCACGCAGGCGGUCUGUCAAGUCGGAUGUGAAAUCCCCGGGCUCAACCUGGGAACUGCAUUCGAAACUGGCAGGCUUGAGUCUUGUAGAGGGGGGUAGAAUUCCAGGUGUAGCGGUGAAAUGCGUAGAGAUCUGGAGGAAUACCGGUGGCGAAGGCGGCCCCCUGGACAAAGAC